rnacentral:rRNA from 1 species
GAUGAACGCUGGCGGCGUGCCUAAUACAUGCAAGUCGAGCGAACGGACGAGAAGCUUGCUUCUCUGAUGUUAGCGGCGGACGGGUGAGUAACACGUGGAUAACCUACCUAUAAGACUGGCAUAACUUCGGGAAACCGUAGCUAAUACCGGAUAAUAUUUUGAACCGCAUGGUUCAAAAGUGAAAGACGGUCUUGCUGUCACUUAUAGAUGGAUCCGCGCUGCAUUAGCUAGUUGGUAAGGUAACGGCUUACCAAGGCAACGAUGCAUAGCCGACCUGAGAGGGUGAUCGGCCACACUGGAACUGAGACACGGUCCAGACUCCUACGGGAGGCAGCAGUAGGGAAUCUUCCGCAAUGGGCGAAAGCCUGACGGAGCAACGCCGCGUGAGUGAUGAAGGUCUUCGGAUCGUAAAACUCUGUUAUUAGUGAAGAACAUAUGUGUAAGUAACUGUGCACAUCUUGACGGUACCUAAUCAGAAAGCCACGGCUAACUACGUG